GGGAGGUGGCGGCCGCCCUGAUCCCACCCCGCGGGCCUCCCCGCCCGUACCUCGGAGAACCACUGGCGAGCGGCCGGCCCCCUUUGGCUCACUCGGCCUCAGCCGCAGAGGGGAGGCGUCUUUCUCUGCAGCCCGGGGGCUCUCCGAGAGCCUCCUAGCAGCCUCUCCUCCCCCGGCGGAAUGGGAGGGGGGCUCGGGGCGUGGGGGGCAGGGGACGCAUGCUGUGGAAGAUGCUCUCCCCGAGGAAAAUGCAGUGGGCAAGGGGACAGGGCGACAGGCGCAGGUGAAGGCCCUGCGGCCAGCGGAGGCCGGCGCUCUAGAGGGGCUCCAGCCGCACCCGGGAAAUCUAAAAGCAGAUGGGGCGGGGGUUCUGCGCGCACAGCUGCCCGGCCCUCGAGACUUUCUCAUCCUCAACUUGACGCUCUGGAAAAUGGAUCCAGCUGCUCCUAUGAGGUGUCUCCGCAAGCAGGAGCUGCCUGGAAACCAGAGGGAGCCCUGUGAAACAGCCAGGGUGGGGGCUCCUUAUGCUCCAUUUCACAAAGGAGGAACCAGAGCUGAGAGAGAGGGAGAGAGGAAGAAGAAGAAAGAAGAAAGAAGAAGAAGGAGGAGAAGGAGAAGAAGGAGAAGAGAGAAAGGAGGAAGGAGAAAGGAGGAAGGAAGAAGAAGGAAGAAGUUAAGAAGAAGAAGAGGUGGAGGAGGAGGAGGAGGGG
rnacentral:lncRNA from 1 species